UUGACGGUUAAGAGGGUGCAGCCGUGAGAAGGCGAGAUUUCGAUAUUUUAGUGACUUUUGACAUGCUACUUUUCACAUAAUCGAAGCUUAUUAAAUAAAGAAAUGUACAAUUAUGUAAACAUAAAGUCUUAUAGAAGUGUACUGCAAAGGAAAAUUUUGGUAUUUAAUAGUACAUCUUUGUUUAAUUUGUCAUUUCUUAAAAGCAAAAUUUCAAAAGCGCUCGUCAGAGCUCACUUUGAGAUAUGAAAUUACCAUUAAGCUAUGUAAAUACAUUUUUUUAAAUAUUUUCGUAGGACAGAAUAUAUAGUCUAUUGGUGAACCACAGCGGAAAAUAUUAAAAAUUAUAUAUUUUAAUAAUUACGCACCCAUUUUUAUAAAUGACUUAUUAUACGAUUUUGGAAACAGCUUUUGAUGAGAAAAGCCCGAUUUUAUUCGUUAAAACUAUUUUGUAUCGAUUAACUGAGGAUGAAUAAAUAAUAAAAGUAAAUUUACAUAAUUAUUAUACGACGAUAGUUAUUACAAACUAUUAUUGAAAAUGGCCUAUAUAAUUACGCGCACGGGCGAAUGUGAUUUAGUACGCGCCGGGUCAUCCCAGAGGGUGGACGUAUCGCUCAUUUCCCGCGCGUCUAAAAGUUGAUUGACCUUACGUACGACCGAGGUUCAAAAGGAGUAUAGUGCGUCAUUGGAUUUGAUACUUUAGCAUGGGUAACAAACGCAAAAAAUAUAGUUGCAGUAGAAAUGCGAAGUCUGCAGCGAACGCCAGGCAAUCAAAAAGGAGAAAGAUUAACGAGGAAAAAAACCAACGUACUCAUGAAUCUCCUGACAAUAACGACUCCUGUGUUGAUUCAAAAAAUAAUAAUCGUGACAAUGUAAGUAUUUACUAUCAGCUAGUAUAAUUAGCUAUUCAUACUUAAAUUUAAAUCAGUAUAUAUUUAGCAGUCAUCUGGGUAAAUUAAUCAGUAAAUUAGAGGCUUUUACUAAACCCCGGUUUCCAAUUAAAUCAUUGUCUAAUAACCAGCCAAGUAAUUGAGCGCAAUAUUAAACCAGAUGGCUGAAUGUCGUGUAGUCAUUUAUAUUAAAUCAGAUACCUAUUUAUGGAUUUGUGAUGUUUGGGUAAGGUGACCAAGUAAGUUGUACGCAAUGUAACUUGGAGGUAUCUCCAAGUUUUCCUACUAUUUUAUUAUUAUUUAAAAUAAAAUGUUAAUCCAGUUCUUUAUUUUUUUUAAUAGGAAUUAUUUGAUGCACUCAUAUCGGAUCUGGAAAAAAUAGAUGAGAAAAAACAAAAUAUACAUUUAGAAGAAACGGCAAAUAUUGAAGAGUUUGAAUUGGAAGUGGAGCCACAAAAACAUACCAUUCCUCCAUAUCAAAUUAUAGGAAGAAGGAUUGUUGAUUUCAUGUAUUUCUUUGAUCAAAUCAAAAUCGUAGCUAACCAUAAUCCUGGACUCGGUUGUUCAAUAAGUAAUGUUGAAAUUGUCAAAGAAAUACUUAAUGGCUUAGAAUCGACAAUCCACUUCAAAUGUACAAUGUGUAACAAGAAAUUUAAUGUCACACUAUGCAAUAAUAAUUUUCCAAAAGAGAUGACCACAAACCAUGCUGCAGUGACUGUUUGUAAAUAAUAAAAUCUAAAAAUGUAA